rnacentral:rRNA from 1 species
AACGAACGCUGGCGGCAUGCCUAACACAUGCAAGUCGAACGAGACCUUCGGGUCUUGUGGCGCACGGGUGCUUAACGCGUGGGAACCUGCCCUUAGGUUCGGAAUAACUCCCCUAAAGGGGUGCUAAUACCGGAUAAUGUCUUCGGACCAAAGAUUUCUCGCCUUUGGAUGGGCCCUCGUUGGAUUAGCUAGUUGGUAGGGUAAAAGCCUACCAAGGCGACGAUCCAUAGCUGGUCUGAGAGGAUGAUCAGCCACACUGGGAAUGAGACACGGCCCAGACUCCUACGGGAGGCAGCAGUGGGGAAUACUGGACAAUGGGCGAAAGCCUGAUACAGCAGGGCCGCGGGAGUGAUGAAGGCGUUAGGGUUGUAAAGCCCUUUUAGCCGGGAUGAUAAUGACGGUACCGGGAGAAUAAGCUCCGGCUAACUACGUG